rnacentral:rRNA from 1 species
AGUCGAUUUCUGCCCAUUGAAUAAUAAAAAUUUAAAAGGCUGCGGUAUAUUAACUGUACAAAGGUAGCAAAAUAAAUAGUUUUUUAAUUAGAAACUUGAAUGAAAGAGUUAAUAAAAUAUAAAUUGUCUCAAAUUUUAAAUAUUAAAUUUAAAUUAAAAGUUAAAAUGCUUUUAUAAAUUUAUUAGACGAUAAGACCCUAAGAAUUUAAUUAUUAAUAUUUUUAUUAAAUUUUUAUUAUAAAAUAAAUAARAAUGUUAAUAAUUUUAUUGGGAGGAUAAUUAAAUUUUAAACUUUAAUUUAUAUAAAAWAUUAAUUAAAUAAAUUUUUUAUGAUUAUUUUUAUAAUUAUAAGAAUUAAUUACCUUAGGGAUAACAGCGUGAUAAUUUUGGAGAGUUCAUAUUGAUAARAUUGUUUACGACCUCGAUGUUGAAUUAAAAUUAAAAUUAAAUGAAGAUAUUUAAAUUUUUAGUCUGUUCGACUAUUAAAAUUUUAC